GAUGAACGCUGGCGGCGUGCCUAAUACAUGCAAGUCGAACGAGUUCUUCGGAACUAGUGGCGGACGGGUGAGUAGCACGUUGGUACCUACCCCGAAGUGGGGAAUAACUGGCCGAAAGGUCGGCUAAUACCGCAUAAUACCGUAAGGUUAAAGCAGUAAUGCGCUUCGGGAGGGGCCUGCGUCUGAUUAGCCAGUUGGUAGUGUAAUGGACUACCAAGGCGACGAUCAGUAGCUGGAUCGAGAGGUUGACCAGCCACACUGGGACUGAGAUACAGCCCAGACUCCUACGGGAGGCAGCAGUAAGGAAUCUUCCACAAUGGACGAAAGUCUGAUGGAGCAACGCCGCGUGCAGGAUGACGGCCUUCGGGUUGUAAACUGCUUUUAUAUGGGAAGAUUAUGACGGUACCAUAUGAAUAAGGACCGGCUAACUACGUGCCAGCCGCCGCAGUAA
rnacentral:rRNA from 1 species